UAAGACUAAAGGACUUAACGUACCACGCGGCCGCACGUGUUGAAACACUUGUCAGGAAACGACGUUCUGACUGUCCUAAAAAACGAAAUACACCCGAUACAAAUACACACACGCUAAAAACACUAAUGGCUAAUAUCCCUGACACUUCCAACCUACUAUUUUAAGACUAAAAGACUUAACGUACCAUGCGGUCGCACGUGUUGAAACACUUGUCAGGAAACGACGUUCUGACUCCUAAAAAACGAAAUACAGCCGAUACACUCACGAAGAAGGAAAAAAAUAUUUUAUAGCCCUGCCGCUUCCAACCAAUUUAAAGGCACCGCCCCCCCCCCAAAAAAGAACAGCGUGUCUAACAAUAGAAGCAAGCUCAAACAAAGCAUGCACAAAAAACUUAAGUUUUCGUCGCCACCACGCAGCCCCGGAGAAACACGUCGGUCCACCACGACUGUCCACUGUCGACUGUCCUCGAAUUGAACUUUAACACUGGCUGUACCCUUUGUAACGGGUGAGAGUAUUCAAACAUACUCAGGCCAAAAAAUAAGGAACAAAAAGAAAAAAAGGAAAGUAAAAAGAAGAGGAGGGACAACGUUGUAAAAGAAAGAGGUUCACUAGCGACGCUCUAGUCCACCACUCGGAGAGUCGUCUUUUCGUCACCAUCACAAAAAAGAAAAAACAGGGACAACGUUGUAAAAGAAAGAGGUUCACUAGCGACGCUCUAGUCCACCACUCGGAGAGUCGUCUUUUCGUCACCAUCACAAAAAAGAAAAAACAGGGACACCGUUGUAAAAGAAAGAGGUUCACUAGCGGCGCACUAGGGUCCACCACUCGGAGAGUCACCUUUUCGUCACCAUCACCGUUGCCUGAUGUGGCAUCGUCAGCUGAGCGAAAUCCCAGGGUGCGUGAUAAGGGGGUGUCUUCUGGCGGUAAAGUGGGGAACUUGCAUCAUAGCACUACGUGUUCAAUGCUCUCGUCCUCCUCGCUGCAUGCCCUACAGUUGGUGCUGGCUAUGGUGGGGUCGUAGUGGUGGCGAUAUGCCAGCGUUCUGAGUGCACCGGUCCGCGCCUCAGACUGCUACCAACGCUGUUGUCGUAAAAGUCCUUUUGCACUUCCUGCGAUGCUAUCUAGUGGCGCCGCCACGAAACAUGCGCGUGCUCUCUGAAAUGCAUGGCCCGCACACUGAGAAAUGUGCCGUGCAGGAGGUCUCCUCUGGCAGUUUAGUCGUAGUCAAGGCCUAGAGUAAGUUGCAUUUCAUCAAGCAUAAGCACAGCAUACUGUUCUUUCGACUUAAAUGUUGCAACUUUCGCCGCAAGGGGGGAAAAAUGUCCAAGAGUUCCUGUAAUGAUAUUUCAGACUGUUCUGACUUGCUGUACAGUUUCUGGCCAUGAGAUGAAGCCUAAAUACAGAAAUUAUCUUAAUUAAAAACUGUGUGAAAAUUAUAGUGAGAAUUAUCUGAAUCAAACCAGACGCUCAUGAUAACUCUUUGGGUUGAUGUGUGUCAUACACAGUAGAAUGUCACUUGCAGCUAGCUGUGCUGGUUACCACAAAAAGACACAAAAUGGCAAAAUUACUGCAUGAAUGAUUGACUGUUGCUCCAAGAUUGUACCUUGUAUAAGAAGGAUAAGUACCUCGCGAAAACUUUACGUUUUCGAUGUUAUUUUGGAGAGUUCUCUCUAAAGGCAGUGGCCAUCUGUUGUCGCGGAGGUACUCAUAACUUCUUGAUCCACAGUCGAGUCGCACUUUUAAUGACUCCUGUAUUGCUCUGUCAGUCCACACAGAUCCCAUGGUCCCUUUUUGCAGAUAACGCAGUUGAUCUACGAAAAUCAUGUUGAAUAACUGCCACAGGUUUCUGCAUUCUUCAGCCUUCACUUGUUUUUUCUGUUCCAAGGUGAGUUGCCCUUUCAGAACUAAAACCUCAUCUAUUGGGUCAUCUUCUGCUGGAAGAUUAAUUUAAUGUGUUAUUUAGCGAAUCAUUGUAAUCUUUCAAUAAUCUAAAAUCUCCUCUAAUUCCGAAAGGCCCUGAGGGGAAAAAUAAAUGAAAUGAGAAACUACGGCAUUUGUACUUCAACGAAGAAAUGUUAAAGCAACAAUCUGGGCCAAUCAUGAAAGUGGUACAUCGCACAGCUUCUGUGUGUCCGGGUAUAGGCUAGGGGGCUAGUAGGUAUCUGUUAGCGGCACUCAAGACGGUUUGGAUGCCAGCACUUUACUGUCUUAUGUCGCUGGUGGUCUGGCAAGCACGAAGCCCACUACAGGGCUCCCUAGUGCAUAUUCUGAGCUUAAAUUCAGGCAUGUUUGCAAUGUACGGCAUCUUGUUUUUAGGUAGACAUUUUUUUCUUUUUCGAAGCCACACAAACGGGCCAUGAGGGUAUGGUUGGAGUAUGGCAUCUCGCAUGGUCCUGUGACCAAAGCAGACAUGUGGGUGGUCCUAAAAAGGACCGUGACAGUAGACUUGGGGGUGUGAGUCGUAGUAAGGCACAGUGGAUUGGCAGGAUGUCGAUGAUGCCAAGGUAGGCUGGUUUCCCACGCUCAACGAUGAGUUUCUUCACGUCUAUGAACUAGAAUGAUGCAGUGUUGGAGACCUUGAAGGGCAGGCGUCGCAUGAUCCACAAAGACGGCCUUUUCACAUCCAUGAACUUAAAGGUGCAGUGCUUGACCUUGAAAGAACCAGUGUGGGUGAAGGAGCUUGCAGGACGUUGCUGACUAAAGGUGUGACAUAUGGAUUGAGCGCCUUCAGUGAACUGUUUGCUUAGUUAAGCUUUCUUAACUUAAGCUUCAAAGGUUCCAUUUCCUCGGCAAAGUGGAACCCUUCUUUAUAUUUCUUAAAGGGCACAUAGCCUGUGCCUGUAGUAUAUGAAAACCCCAGCCGUGUUAUACGCUUAGUCAAUAGCUCUGGUAUGACUUCCAUCCUAUAAAAAGAGGCCUUCAACAAUGUUCUUCCAGAUCACCUCAUCAAAAUAAAUUCAUUCAACUGUUGAUGAAGGUCAGCGUAAGUAACAAAAUCACACCAUGGCUUCUGUGUGACCCCAAGCUGGCCUUGCACUUGGUAGAAGUAUGUGUGUGUUCUUUUGAGACGCAUUUCACCAGAAACAACUUCAGAGGAAAAUGUUAUGUCCAUGCAAGCAUCAAGCACAGCUUGCCCAGAUUUUGAGGCUGGGCACUUCACUUCAAGCAGCCCAACAUCAUUUCCAUCUUUAACUAUACGGUCUGGAGAGGCAGCCACAAAUGAAUGGGUCACAUCAACAUGUAGCCCUGUCUUGAGUAAUUGAAUGUCCUUGUCGUACAAAAGCAUUACAGUUUUGUGAACAUUCACAGACAAGUCCUCAUUUUCCAGACUGUAAAGUCUUGGAUCACCUUGUUUGAGUGGGCCCUGCUUUCUUGAAUACAAGAUGCCUUUAACUAAGCCUUCAUGCUUCAUAAAUAAUUCGGUAAAAGUUUGAAGCCGUCAGUCUACCAGUCCUCUCCUUCAUCCACUCUGCGUUUUCAUUUUGGCCAACUGUUCUUUCGCAGACAGAAGCUCUUUCGACAUCUGAUAAAGGCAUUUGCUCACUCAAUUUCUUUUCAAACAUUUCUAUGCACUUCAAGGACAGCAGAUCCUCAGUGUCUAGAAUAGCACUGAUUUUCUGCAGAGGUGCUCUUUUCCCGCAAGAAUACCUGUUCCACAGGUGGUUCGGGGCAUCCUUUGCAAUUUUUUUCGGCAGGCUUUUUAACGACAGCUGGCAAACUUGGUGGAAGCCUUCGUUUCGCCUUUGCAGGCACUGCCUUGUCGAUCACGUGCUUCUUGAAAGUGAUCUCCAUCAGGGGCUGUACAGGCAGGCGGUUCUGCCCUGGUAAUGAAAUACUGCACAAUCAGUAAUUGCAACAUUAUCUCUCACUAAAGUUUCAAGCUGGCUUGUUUUGUAGUGAAAUCGAAGUAGUAGUCCUUUGGAUAUCAAAUUACAUAAGAUGGAAUAAGCACAUUGACACAUUAACUGCAAACACAAAACGUAAAGUAUUUUCUCUUGGAUUGGUACUAAAGAUUUCCCUUGUUUCGACUCUUCACUUCACUU